rnacentral:rRNA from 1 species
UACGAAGGGGGCUAGCGUUGCUCGGAAUCACUGGGCGUAAAGGGCGCGCAGGCGGCUUAUUUUGUCAGGCGUGAAAGCCCCGGGCUUAACCUGGGAACUGCGUUUGAUACGGAUGGGCUAGAGUUCGGGAGAGGAGAGUGGAAUUCCCAGUGUAGAGGUGAAAUGCGCAGAUAUCAGGAAGAACACCUAUGGCGAAGGCAGCUCCUCUGGGACGGUACUGACGCUAGGCGCGAAAGCGUGGGGAGCGAAACAGG